CGGGAACAGAGAGACAAGAGGAUCCAUCGUCACGACUUGAGAGUGGAACAGAAGUUAUCCUGAUAGCACGACCGUGUUAACAAGGUUUAGAGUGUGUUGUCCACACAACCCAAAUAUUUGCAAAUUUGUGAAGGGAGAAGCUAAGGUUAGGGACCAGAGACCUCCCACCGUCCAGAGAGAGACCAGAGACACUACUGUGACCAGACAGAGACACCACCGCCACCGUCUAGAGAGACCAGAGACCACCGCCAACGUCCAGAGAGAGACCAGACACUACUGCGACUGCCCAAAGACACCAGUGACUCUACCGCCACCAUCCAGAGAGAGACAAGAGACCACCGCCACCGUCCAGAGAAAAAAUAGAGACACCUCCGCUGCCGUCUAGAGAGAUCACCGCAACCUUCCAGAGACACCACCGCGACCGUCCAGAGACCAGUAAC
ensembl:lncRNA